AAGUCGUAACAAGGUAACCGUAGGUGAACCUGCGGUUGGAUCAUUAUUGAAUCCUGCUUCUCUUUUGAAUUUCGCAAGGAAUUUGACUGGGAAUCAGUAAUGGGGUUUUUGACUGGUUGACCAGUUACUAAUCUCUAAAGGGUUGCCUUUUCAAGGCAUCACUUUACACCUUAAACCUCGUUGUUUCUUUCAGACUUUGCAGUUUGUUAGGAGCAAUAAUUGAAACUAUUGUUGAUUGAUUGGCUAGAGAGCAAUCAAAAGCCAGUCUUCAACGGUAGCCCCCUAGAAAAACAUCUUGUUAAUCUUUUUUAAACAAUUACUGGACGAAAGAAAGGUAAAAGAAUGAAAAAACAACUUUUGACAACGGAUCUCUAGGCUCUC
rnacentral:misc_RNA from 1 species